GACGAACGCUGGCGGCGCGCCUAACACAUGCAAGUCGAACGAAGAAUAGCUUCGGUUAUUCUUAGUGGCGGACGGGUGAGUAACGCGUGAGUAACCUGCCUUACAGAGGGGGAUAACAGUUGGAAACGACUGCUAAUACCCCAUGACAUAUCUUAGCUGCAUGGCUUAGAUAUCAAAGGAGCAAUCCGCUGUAAGAUGGACUCGCGUCCAAUUAGCUAGUUGGUGAGGUAACGGCCCACCAAGGCGACGAUCAGUAGCCGGCCUGAGAGGGUGAACGGCCACAUUGGGACUGAGACACGGCCCAAACUCCUACGGGAGGCAGCAGUGGGGAAUAGUUGCACAAUGGGGGAAACCCUGAUGCAGCAACGCCGCGUGAGUGAAGAAGUAUUUCGGUAUGUAAAGCUACUAUCAGCAGGGANAAAUGACGGUACCUGA
rnacentral:rRNA from 1 species